GCAAACCCUGACAACCAUUACAAGUAAUUCAACUUGUUGACCUUGUUUUUGUUCAAUGCAAUGUAUGUUCAGGCAUUCAAUUCCUUGGCCUUACCAAGAGAUUCUAAUAGGAACUCCAAGGCCUUCCCCUUGUCCCAUUUAAUGGUGGGGCGAAUCUCCAAUACCUACUUCAUCGGAUAAAUCAUAGCAAAAAUAAUUAGCACAAGCUAAAUCCAUGCUUAAGAAGGAAAAUUAGUGUGACUAAAAGUGCCACCUUUCUCCCUUGAGUAAUCCUUAACUUGGGGUAUUCCUUUAACACUAGGCACACCUGCUCCACUAGCAAACCCCAAUGCUGCAUAAAGAAUUUGCAUAAUAGAGCAUGAGCAACUAAUGAAGGAGAAGACAUUGUUAUUAUAAUUUAUAUGCAUGGAGGGCGAAGUAUAACUAUGUAAGAUCACUUUGCUGACCUUUUCUUCCACACAUCUGAAGUGGACAGAUACACAAAACUUGUUGUUCUCCACCUUGGCACCAGGAAUGGGCUUGGUCUUCUCCAGUAACUUUUUGUGAACCUGAUUAAAGGGAAAUGAUUCAGUGUGUAUUAAUUAGUAUCAUGAAAAGUUUCAAGGAAAAAAAAAAAGUGGAAAUUGAAGAACCAACCUCAUUCAUUGCAGGAAAGGCUUUAUUUGGAGGGAAAAGUACUACCUUGGUGUAUUUGGUUCCUUUGGGAACUUUGAUGUCCAUGCCAUGGCUUCCAGCGUAGAAUAACUCGGUUAAUUUUACAAAAUCAUAUACCUGAAAUUGAUGCAUGCAUUAGAAUUUAGUAGUUGAGUAGCAGAACAAGCAGGCGAAGUGUCAAGAAAUUGCUGGCUACUUUGCUCCUGCAGCGCCCGCUCACAAUUGCUGUCGGGAAGCACCGUGCGACCUCCUUCACCGCCGCUCUCAUCUGAGCACAGAGAUUGCAAACAGGCGAUCAAAAUCCCAUCUUUUGCCUCUUUUUUUUUUCUUUCUUUCUAGCAUUGAUUUCAUGAAUGAAUGCAGGGGAAGCUCACCGCUUCGGACAUGAAGGCGGAGUCGGGAUCGUCGACGAUGGGGGAGAGAGUUCCGUCGUAGUCCAAGAACAUCACGAUUUGUUUCCCCUUCGUGGCGUUCAUGAUCUGCUCAAACUUGCUCAAAGCCGAGGGAUGCUGAAUCUGCUCCAAGCAAAUGCAAUUACGCGUCAGAACUGGAAAGAUUCGAGCUUUUUGAUCGUUUGAGAUAACGGCGACUUACUAUCCACGCGGAGUAUUCGGGGAUCUCGAGCUCGUCGGCGGGCGCUGCAGCCAGGGCGGCGGCCGCCUUCGCGUGGGUCGGAGAGGAAGCCUUCAUCGACUCCACCCACCCGUUAGCCCGCCCUCCGCUGAGCUCGAUGGAAGAAUAAUGCUUCUUCCUGAUCGACGCGCCGCCGCCGCCGCUGCGCGGCGGCGGGUACGGCACCGCGGCCGGCGAGUUCGCCGGCGUUGCGAUCCCCGGCAUCGCCUCAGGCACCAACAUGUUCUGGCUCGUCAUUUUAACAGAAACCGGGGCGAAAAUGUCAGAGAAGAAGAGCAAAGAUCGGAUUUCUUUUCCUCGUCCCGGUCGACCAAAAAUAGGAGCUCCGAGGAUUCCUCGACUCGGUAAAGCGGUGCGGGUAGUUGAGAUCGGGAGUUAGCGAUGGAGGAGGUGUCGCGGGGGCGGUGGAUUUAUGGGUGGCGGAGGGAGCAAGAGGACAAGGAAGGGUGGGUCCCGCCCGAGCUGGAAGCCUGGAACGGAGUAGAGCUCGGGCGGGCCCCUCACCGGUCCAAACCCGUCGACGUGGCGGCGGACGCAGCGCACGAGCGCGCUGUGCUCACGUGUUGACGGUCGGAGGCAAUAAAUCCAAGAAGCCUCUAAUAAUUAAUUAUUAAUACGCAUCCAAAUAAUUAAUGAAUCAUUAACAUUUAACCCUGCGUUUAGGGUAUCUAUUAAUUAAAUAGCUCUUCUUUUUUUAUUCUUCCUUCAAAUCUUCCAAGACAGUUUUAGUUUAUCAACAAAGAACCACAUUACCAAUGUUACAUGGUUUAAUUGAGAUUGAAUUGUUUUAGGGCUUCAAUACGCGCGGCAUCAAGCAAGUUGCUCCACAUAUAAAUGGCAAAUUGUAUUUGGAUUGAAUUAGUGUUGGACAGAAUCGAGUUCUUGCUUAUAUUGUAUUUUCUUUAUGGAAUAUGUGUUGAUUACUUUUGGAAGAAUAAACUAAUCGGGAACUAUAAUUAUCAGCUUUUUGGAGUUGA